GAUGAACGCUGGCGGCGUGCCUAAUACAUGCAAGUCGAGCGAACGGACGAGAAGCUUGCUUCUCUGAUGUUAGCGGCGGACGGGUGAGUAACACGUGGAUAACCUACCUAUAAGACUGGGAUAACUUCGGGAAACCGGAGCUAAUACCGGAUAAUAUAUUGAACCGCAUGGUUCAAUAGUGAAAGACGGUUUUGCUGUCACUUAUAGAUGGAUCCGCGCCGCAUUAGCUAGUUGGUAAGGUAACGGCUUACCAAGGCGACGAUGCGUAGCCGACCUGAGAGGGUGAUCGGCCACACUGGAACUGAGACACGGUCCAGACUCCUACGGGAGGCAGAAGUAGGGAAUCUUCCGCAAUGGGCGAAAGCCUGACGGAGCAACGCCGCGUGAGUGAUGAAGGUCUUCGGAUCGUAAAACUCUGUUAUUAGGGAAGAACAAAUGUGUAAGUAACUAUGCACGUCUUGACGGUACCUAAUCAGAAAGCCACGGCUAACUACGUG
rnacentral:rRNA from 1 species